UGGAGAAUCAGUAGGUGCAAGCCAAG
rnacentral:piRNA from 1 species